CGCGACCCCAGGUCAGGCGGGAUUACCCGCUGAA
rnacentral:rRNA from 2 species